GGGGGUGUGGUGUAACGGAUAGCAUCAGGGGUUUCGAACCCUUGGAUUCCGGUUCGAUUCCGGACACCCUCA
rnacentral:tRNA from 1 species